UGGAGCUGCACAAGACAUCAUGAAUCAAGAGCCACUUAGGGGUAUGCUAGGCACUUCUGAAUGAGCAAAGGGCCUCCAGCAGCUCAAAGCAGGCCACUGAGGUGACACAGGUGCUGGUCAUUGAAUAUAAGUGGACAAAGGAUGAAGCCAAGCAGAAAUCCGAUCAGUUUCAGCCUUGGAAAACCUUAGAAAUCUCCCUGCUUCAGACAGUGCAGCACCACAAGAUGGUGAACUUUUGUCAGCCUGCAUCCUUGAAUUAUUUCCUUCUGACCUAUUGUCCUGUUUACCUACUUCAAAAGAUGAAAGUGCUGACCUGCUUCAUAGAAAUGUUGUUUAAUUAAUACAAGCCCUUCUCAAACAUGAAGAACUAGUACAACUUCUUUGGGAGCUAUGCUGCUAAAAGACAACAUGGGUUUAAAUCUUUAGACUGGAAUAAAUCUAAAAGAGGACAUAAUCGUUGGCUUUCUUCCACUAGUAUUAAAGGACUUUAUAGAUCUUUAAUGAUCUCAGAUGAAAGAAAAUGGAAAAUGUAUGAUCAUUCCAUGACAAGGUGGAAACAUUUCACAGCAGACAGGAACUUUUUCAGUUACCAGCAUUGAAACAGAAUUCCAGGAAUAAGUACUCAGAUGGCCCAUUUUACCCUUUUAACUUUAAAUGUAAAUGAUAAUAAUGAUGAUGAUGAUAGCUAGCAUCUGAUGAGCAAAACUAUGUUCUAGAACUAUUCUAAAUGCUUUUCCAUGUAUUAUUUGCAAAAUUUGCUAGACAACUUCAUGCCAUGUAUUUAUUCCUGAGUGCUCAUGUGGCCCUGAACUCUGUUUCUCUACAUCUUUCUUAUGCCACCCAUAGUUUCCCUAUAGGUCUUUUAGGCAUAAUAGAACUUUUAAGGUAGUAUCAUAUUCAGAGCACCACUUCCUCUUAUGCAACUAGAUUAAUAAAGCAGUAUUUUUGAAGACCAACUACAUGGAAAAAUGACUCUGAAUUCAGCUUUUUCCCAGUCAUUUCUAUCAACAGUAUUCAACUGAUUCAUUUAUUUUUCAAUUUCUUCAAUAUCAUUGAAUACUUUAGGUCCCAGGAGCAAUUAUUUCUUUUUUUUAUGUGCAUCCACUCCUGAAACUUUCUGCCCGCACCUGAUGCCAAUUCCCAGAAUUAAGACUAAACUAGAAAACCUGCCACAGGUACAUUUUACUGUCCAAACCAGUCCUAUUUUCUUCUUUGUACCUACCAGCAGUAUGACAUUAAGCAAUAACACUAAAAUAAUCCUUUGUUUUCUUUUUAUAAACACUGAUAACUUGUACAUUUCAUGAGCAUAUGCUCAAUAUUGUCAAAUGUAUUAAUGUAUGG
rnacentral:lncRNA from 1 species